rnacentral:lncRNA from 1 species
CGACGAUAUGUCCCCUCUCUGGUCCGAGCUAUUUUCAGCGCGAGCGCGUCACGUUGCCGUCCAGCAAACUUCAUCUGGAGUGAAUGAAGAAUACGCGCACACCUCCGGGAUUACAGCUCAUGCGUUAUCAUGAAUUGAGGUCAGGUGCACUAACUUCAAACGAUGAAUUCUGCGAGCGACAAAACUGCGUGAUCUACCUCGCUCGGCAACUUGGUCCAAGUGCAUCCUAGGAAAUCUCAGCAUCAAGGCUAGUGUGAGCAAAGCUCUACGGCUUACGUUUUUACAGCCCAUCUCAUAAAUGUGAGCGCCUGCAACUCUGCGUGACAUGUCUUCGUGUUUAUGAAGGGCUCUGGAGAUGUCUCGCGACGAUAUGUCCCCUCUCUGGUCCGAGCUAUUUUCAGCGCGAGCGCGUCACGUUGCCGUCCAGCAAACUUCAUCUGGAGUGAAUGAAGAAUACGCGCACACCUCCGGGAUUACAGCUCAUGCGUUAUCAUGAAUUGAGGCAGGUGCACAACUUCAAACGAUGAAUUCUGCGAGCGCAAAACUGCGUGAUCUACCUCGCUCGGCUGAUGUCCUUGUUCAUGAAUGAGAGAUUAUUCGUUCAUCGCCUUCUGCCCGAUCAUCACUUCUCCACUCUCAUCCCGCAGCUUUCCGCUUUUCAUCUGAGCGUCCGUGUAAAAUGGAAAUCUGAAGUGCUCCACUUUCGCAGUUUCUCACCUUUCAAAGAAAAAGUGUAG